GAAAUAUCUGACAUUAAAAAUUUAGAAAUAUCAGAUCCACUGGACAUCUUAUGUGGAUGAUAAAACAUGCAUAUUUUAAAAAUUAUAAUAUGUUCAUGUUUCUGAACAUAAAGAGAAACACAAACCUCUGUUACAAAGAAACACUGCUAACUCAGUGCGUGAAGAGAACUGGGGGAAAUGGCAGAGAGUCUUUUUAUUACAAACAUUCAGUCUUCCAGAUGCACAGCAGUCACAAGUGGUUCUUUUAGCUGCUUCCACCCCUACCAGCCUCUCACUCUCACCCCAUGCCUGCCCCACUUCUGGAUGAUUUUCUCUGCUCUUCUUGCUAUGCUUUUAUUUUUAAAAAUCAUCACUUCUGGAUGAUUUUCUCCGCUCUUCUUGCUAUGCUUUUAUUUUUAAAAAUCAGUAUCUCCAAGUAAAAUUCAUGGUGUUUGUCAGCCUGCUUCUUCGAACCCUGCUUUUAUUACAUUUGGUACCUUGCCCAUUUUGAAGAUCAGGGUAGAGAUUUCUUUAUGUAUUAUAUUAUAUGACCUUGAAAAUGUCUUAUACUCAGUUCCCCUCUUUUUCAAAAUGACCUGCAUUUGGCAUCAUAACAGCACCUCAAUGUAACGUACAUUGGCCUGCUGUCAGAACUGGAGGGAAGGUACAAUGCCUGUCAAUUAUGAUUUCCUCUGCCUUUUGUUGAUGAAGCAAGUCUCCAAACACUUUCUGAAUAAAUCCACUGAGAUUACCUUUUCUGAAUUCUCUCUCUAUUAUUUAAUUCAUAUCUCCCUUCUGUGUAAAUUUUCAAUGUUAUCCAGCCGGGCUGGCUUUUCUUUUUUUUUAUUACAGUACUUUUCUGUUUUGUAGAAUAUUCCAGCUUCAGGCAUCUCACAACCUUGAUCUUUUACCAUUGCAAUUAUACUUGAUGUAUUUUAUUUAGAAAUUUAAGUUUUGCCCUUUUUUCAUUGUUGCAAGACUUAGGAAACAAGUUAUUUUCUUCAUUCACAGCAGCUGUGAUUCCAUAACAACUGUUCAGCUGAAAAAAAGUCUCCCUUUUAAAAAGUAAAUAUCUAUAUUAUAUCCAUCUAUAAAGAUGGACAAAGUUAUGUUCUGCCUUCUGUUUUGGAAUAUAUGUAAGUAAAGAGAAACAGGGAUAUAAUUAAUCUUUAAACCUCUUUGAGUAAUUAAGUAAACAGUCAACAUUUUCAAAACUUGAAGAGGGUCAAUUUACAACAAAAGUAUUUGCAACAGAGAAGAAAAAAUUGAUCAUCAGUAAAAUUUAGUCUUUAAAGGCUGAUGAUACAUUCCAAAUCAUUCUUCUAGUCUGAAGAACAGAUAUUUAAGAAAAAGGAUUUUUACAUUUAUUUCUUGAGAACUUUUAGUAUCCAGACGCUUUUGACAAUAGUUCUUACAUUUUGAUGGACUGAUGAAACACCUUCUUUUCAGCCAAAUUCUGUCCCUUAUGGCUGAUUUGAUCUUAUCAGUGAAUCUUUAAAUGUACUUUUUUGCCUUGAUACUAGAUCUUGGCUUUUUUUGAGACCAUUUGGUAAAUGCAUUUCUCUUAUCUAUGUGGCACAGUUGCUAAGUUAUUUGAAUGGAUAUAGGUUGUAAAUUCUAGCCUGCAAUGCUAAUAUUCAGAAAAGGAUGAUUAUGAGUUUUCAUUUGCUGUAGAGAUAUUAGGCUUCACAGCAGGACUUCUGCAGGUAAAACCUACUUGUUUUGAUAUCCUUGAAUGAGAAAAAAUGCUUUCACUGAGCAGCAAGGAUAAACCAUCACUUUCUGAGGGAGCGAUUGAUUUUUCAGAUGUAAAGUGAAUGAGUGAUGGUUACCCUGAAUCUACUAAGCUUCCUUAAGUAAUUUGUGAAAGAACUAUAGGAAAAACAUGCAUGUAUAUGCACAUAUAUGGACCUGGACUGAAAUUAUUAAAAAAAUUUCAGUGCUGUCUGCCUUUUUUAUAAAAAUAUUGUUAUGGGGUGAGAGGCACCCAAAAACACUGCUCAGGUAAAUAAGACAUUGAGAACCACUGCCCAGCUCAGAACUCUCCACUGGGAAAACAAACGAGGCACAAAAAAUCAUUUUGGAGAGGCUUACCAAAACCCUUGGUAGUAUGCAGCUAUGUACAGGAAAUAACAAAAAGAAGUACAAAUUAAUUCUCAAGAUAUCUACAUUCUUAUAACAUGUUUGAAGUGGGAGACCAAAAGGUAGUAGUAAAUACAGUGUUGUAUGAGAGUUUGUAUUCUGUGCAGAAAGUGUAUGUUUUGUAGGACAGAGACCUUGGAAUAGAAAUCAUAAUCAACCCGCUAUACCUAUGUUCAUUCAUAAACAAAUUUUAAAUCAUAGAAUCAAUUAGGUUGGAAAGAACCUUUAAGAUCAUCGAGUUGAACAGUUAACGUAACACUACUGUGUCCACCACUAAACCGUGUCCCUAAGUGCCACAUCUAUACAUCUUUUAAAUACCUCCAGGGGUGGUGACUCAUUCACUUCUCUGGACAGCUUGUUCCAACGCGUGACAACCUUCUUAGUGAAGAAAUUUUUCCUAAUAGCCAGUCUAAGACCUUAUGCAAUUGAGUGUUGUGGUUCUGUCCUUGUGGCCACCUCAACCCUAAAUUCCUCCAUGGCACAUCUGCUUCAUGACUUCCUAUUAAAAAAAAAAAAGAGUAUUUGAUUAGGACAGUUUGCAGUGAUGUAACACUGUAAUAGAGCAUUGCCAUUGCUGGUAACAGGCCGAGCUUUGUACUGAGUCUGCAAGGCCUCAGGGCUGACGCUUGACAGACCUGCUCUGUCUGAACUUCUGUUGACCUGCCUGCAGGUUUGGUUUGCUUGGUUUAGCUGUGACAGGAAUUUUCUUAAUUGAUCAGGUGCCUACAGCUGAUUUACUUUAUUUUUAAAACAGUACAACCAUGGUUGUAAUAAGUAGUUACUCUGUAUAGAAUGAGAUAUAUACAGCCCUAAUACAGUGGCAUUGUGUAGAGAAACACAGGUAUGGUAGGACAGGAGAGACCUGAAGAAGUGGGGACACAGGGGACACAGGAUGUGGUGUAGAGGAGCUCAGGCACAGGAGUGAUAAGAGAUGGGCUCUUGGCACUGGAGGUACCACAACUGUGAGAAAUUCUCCCAUGGUGGGUUAAAGACCUGGACCUGGGCAACAUUGGUUUUAGGGGUAACAGGAAAAAAAAAUAUCUGACAUAUGUAAAGGGAGCCAUAUGUAGUUAAUUUGGACAUAACAUCGAGCUACAAACCAAAGAAGAAAGAGCAAGGCUGUAGAAGCAUAAACAUGUCAAAAUGGCUCCAACUGGACCCUUAGAGGAAGGGAGACCCAUCAACGUGAACAUCACAGUCCUCCCUGUAAAGGACUCUAGAGGCUCACAACUCAGUGUCAAACCCCUCACCUCCAACACACACACACACACACGAAUAAAACCCACCAACCUUAGAGCCCAGAGGACCAUCAAGAGCAUGAGCACAGCACUGGGCAUAGGAGCUGCAUCUAAGAAGCAUGUGCACAAUGAUUUUAUCUGCAUUCUUUCUUUUCGUUUUAAUUUAACAAUUAGAUCUAGACUAAUAAUGAUUAGACUCUUAAUAUUUCAUGUAUACUAACAAUGAAUUCUUGGCUUUAAUUAUAUUUAAGGUGCUCUUACUGUUCUGGCCUUCAGCAGGAUUUUGAGUGCAGCAUGUUUAAGUAUCCUGUAAUUAUUUCAUAUUACUUGAUAACCAUUGCACUAUCAAGUCAUUUUAGCAGUAAAGCGUGUAUCUUACUGUCACCAAUUUUAAAGAAUUUGGGUUGAGUUAUUUUAUGUGGUUUGGGAAAAAAAAAUUAACAUAAGACUAAAAAUAGUUUAAUCAAUAACCAUCUUAAAGAAAUGUUCAUCAAGAAGUUUUCUUCCAAGAUCUACAGAGACACUACUUGAAAUCAAAUUUAAAAAAAGAAAAAAGAAAAAAACCCAGACAAACAAACAAACAAACAAACCCCCACAAAAACAGGUUGUUCAGUAGAACCAGUAAAACAAACCAAAGUUAAUGGAAUUAGUUGGUACAUUAAAUUUAUAAAGAGCAAGGUUGGUAUUGAUACUGAAAUAUGUAGAGCCUGGGUUUUUAAAAACUAUUCUGUAUUCAGUGCAAUUAAAAUCAGUGUAGAUAUGAAUAUGAUAUUAGAUGUCACAAAAGACAAAGAAGCCACUAAUAUACUUUAAAGAUACAUUUUGAGUAAAAUAUAUUUUGCAGGGAAAAUAUUUGGAUUAAUUAAGUAUGUUCAAGGAGCUAGUCAGUAGGACCCCCUGGGAAACUGUCCUCCAGGACAAGGGAGCAGAACAGAGACGGCAGAUUUUGAAGGAUGUUUUUCAUAGAGCUCAAGAGCUCUUGAUCCCCUGGUGUAAGGAAUCAGGAAAGGAAGGCAAGAGAUCAGCAUGGAUGAGUCGAGACCUGUUGGUCAAACUGAAGGGCAAGAAGGAAACACACAGGCAAUGGAAGCAGGGACAGGUAUCCUGGGAAGAGUAUAAGGACACUACUCAGUUUCAGCCAGAAAAGGAAGGUCAAAGAAAGUGUACCCCCUGCAAUUAACACAACUAGCAAACUGCUGACAAUGGAUGAUAAGAAGGUUGAGGUACUCAGCAGAUUUGUUGCCUCAGUCUUCGCUGGAAACCUCUCUUCCCACACUUCUCAAGUGGAUGGACCACAAGACAGGGACUGGAAGAUUCAAGCCCCUCCCACUGUAAGAAAAGAUCAGGUUCACGACCACCUGAGGAACUAGAAAAUACAUAAGUCUAUGGGACCUGAUGGGAUGUGUCCCAGGUCCUGAGGGAAUUGGCUGAUGUAGCUACCAAGCCACUCUCCAUGAUACUUGAAAAGUCGGGGCAGUCAGGUGAAGACCCUGGUACCUGGAAAAAAGGAAACAUUGCACCCAUUUUUAAAAAGGGUAGAAAGAAGGACCCUGGGAACUACUGACCUGUCAGCUUCAGCUCUGCACAUGUGAAGAUCAUGGAACAGAUUCUCCUAGAAGCUAUGCUAAGGCACACGAAGGUCACAGAGGUGAUUUGAGACAGCCAGCACAGCUUCACAAAGGCUAAAUCUUGCCUGCCCAACCUAGCGACCUUCUGUGAUGGAGUCACUACAUCAGUGGCAAAGGGAAGAGCUAUGGAUGGCAUCUAUCUGGACUUCGAAAAAUUUGGAUAUUCUGAACCAAAUUAUGUCCUCUGUUUCACGCAAAGCAUCAAGAGUCGCUAUGAAUACUCCACAAGAUACCUUCCUCUCCAUGUCCACAGUGAAUAGGAGAAGAAAUAAUGGGCUUAAGUGAAGCAACAGAAAUUUUGACUGGACAUUAGGAAAACUGGAAGAGAUUGCCCAAAGGAUAUUAUGAGUCUCCAAAACUGAAGGACUUUGAAGGCAGCCUAAAAAUAUAUUUGACAGGCAUGAAAUAGCUAAGUCUGAUCAUGCUACGAAGCAAAAUCAGACACUCUACAGUUCUUUUCCAGCUGGACUGUAUAAUGCUGUGUCAUUUACCUUUGAUCUACUCUAUGCUGGUCUGGGAAUGCCAGUUUCAUGGGACAGCUGCAGAUCAGUCCAUGAGAAAUGCUGUGUUUCUUUGUUUGCUUCCUAUUUAACUUCAGCCUUUUUUUGGAAUAAACCCAAAUUUUAGAAAGCUUCCCAUGAAAUUCAAACCCUAUUAUUGAGUCAGAUUUAGUUCAGAACUUAUGUCUAACACCUUCUAGGGCAGUAGCAUUCCACAGUCUCGUUAGUUUUAGGCUUCAGAAACACUUCAGAAAUCUUCCCAAGCCCACAGUUGCUUUGACAUUAUUUUCUCAGCAGCUACACAGCAAAUAGAGUUUUUUGUUUCUAUUUAAGAACAUCAGGGACAGUGUGACAGGAAAUCAAGAAGUUUAUGAUUAACAAAGGGUCAUCUUAACCACAAAAAAAGACAAAUGAAAACAAAUUUCAACAACAGCAAUCUCUUGGUUUUAGAGAAGCAGUCUGUGGAGUUACAUUCUUUUAUAAAAAAGCAAAAUAAAGACAAUGGCACUCUCAAGUAUAAAUUUAUUCUGCUUUUUGUUCAUCUAGAAGCCCAUGCUACAGUCUUGAUUCUGGUAGUGAUGCAUGCGUCACUGAACUGAUACUUUGCUAAGAAAAGUACCUGUAUUAUUAUUUUUAAGGGCUGUCAUUCUUUAUUUCAGUCAGAAAAAAAUCAAGUUUUCAAGAUUCUUUUUCUAAAAUCCAGCAGUAAAAUAUUACAGAAUUGAUCAAAGUAAUCAUCAAUAGUACUGUAGAGAAACUUUUUUUUUCCACAGGCAAGGUGCCAAUGUAGUUUUUCAAAUGUAAGGGUUAUUUUGUUCUUUUGUUGGUUUUUUUUGUGUGUGUCUUGGUAUUAAUGUUUUCUCUGACACUUGAACAGUUCUGCCAUGUAACAUUUUGACAGACAUGUUAAACUGGAGAUUACAAAGUGAAAUCUCUGAGAAUGCCACACAAAAAGAAUUAGUUAUGCUGAAGGCUUCACUUUGCUUCACUUAGACAAAAUAAAUUGGAAGGCUGUUAUGUAGAUUGUAUGCACAUUUCUCAGAUGUCUUCACAAGAGAGAUGAAGAAGCAUGCAAAGAGUAAUCAUUGAUGCAUGAAGUUCAUACAGUUUGCAGGUAUGCUGCUAUCUGAUCAACAUCUCUUUUCACAGUGGUAAGAUUUGUAAACAUUAUAUUUAUUUCUGUACAUACAGAUACAUGUAGACACAGAGGUGUGUAAUAAGUCGUGUUUUUCUAAGAAAACAGUAGCACAGCAUCUUUUUAAGACUGAUGAUGAACUCUAAUAUGUGUAGUGAUAGCAGUUUGCAACCUCAAUCAUGAUGGCAUUUGUAUACUUGACUUUGCAAUUUUUCUCAUUAGUCUUACGUACUUAUUUUUAUCUUGGGAGCACUAAUGCAAACAUGUAAAUAAAUAUAAACAAUGUUUAAAUACAGCCUCCUGUUCUAGUAGAGGGUACUAUUUGUGAAUUCAAAAUGUUUAGCUCUACUAAAUAAGAUAUAAAGCACAUGCAGUGAAUAUUAAGCACAGAAUACCAUUAAAAGCCUGUGUCAAAGAAUGCAGUAGCAAAAACGUUUCUGCCGUUCUUUAGUUUUGGCUUCUGGUGGCUGAAUAAAGGGCAGAUAGUGUUCUGACCCAGCACAGAAGGAAAUGAAAGGAAUAGAGUGAAAAGUCUGGUGGGUUUUCCAGCAUUAUGAGUUUUCCAUCAUCAUACCACUUCAGUCAUCAUGAGCAGGGUGUUCACAAGCCAAUAUGUAAAUCUACUUCACUAGAAGCAGUAUUGUGUUAAAAGAUGUUACAACAUGAGGGGUUAACCAGCCUGCAUGUAUGUAGAGAUCGCAACCAUGGCUGGAUCUCUAUCAGGAGGUAGACAAACUUAACUUAUCCCAGAAGUGGGCCCAGAGGGGUAAAAGUAAAAUAACAGACAGUUUCAUUUCAAAGAUGAUCCAUGUCAGGGAGUUCGGAUUCAGCCAGGUGUGCCCUGAAAGGGUCCAGUAUCUCAUAAGAAGUUCAUGUUGAGAAUUCAGCCUGUUUAGGAAAGGAAAAGUACAUGCCACAUGGGAAGUUCUCAGAGAGAGAGGCUACAUUUUGGAUAAAAAUUAAGAGCUUUUUAUUUCAUAGAGAAAUAAUAGGGCAUAGAACAUCACCACUUCAAGCAGCCAAUAGAUGCUGUUCAUUUCUAUUUCACCUGGGGCAGCCAAAAGUUUACUUUCUUUCAGACCAUUUUUUUUUGUUGUUGCUUUUUGUUUUUUCUAGACUGCUUUCCUGUUCUUGCAGUUAGAACAGCCAAUGGCAGGUACAGAUUCUUAUUUUGUCAGGAUGUUUUACCCUCUAUUACAUAGUAAUUUUUCACCUUUUCAAAAGAUAAGUUAUUAUAGUUCCUUAAUUUCGCAGUUCCAGUGUGUCCAGUUUCUAGGUACCGAGGUGUACUUCAAAGAUGCCAGCUGCACUUUUCAGGGAUGGUUCUGGUUCCCAGGCCUAGUUCCCAGGCUCACAGCUCCCAGGCUGGCAGGCAGUUUCUCUGUAAGUGUUUCAGCAGGCAGUUUCUUCUGUUCAGUAAAUUUCCCCUUCUGACAAGGUCUCCUAUUUGGCUGCUCACCUCAGAGGUAGAGAGAGAAAGGAGGUGUAAUUUCAAGAUCCACGUUAUUUGUGUUAUAGAACUUUCCUACCCCUUUCUGUAAAUGUCUCAAUCCAGACAGCAUUCCUGACACUGGGAAGAAUGCA